GACGAACGCUGGCGGCGUGCUUACCACAUGCAAGUCGAACGAAGUGGCGAACGGGUGAGUAACGCGUAAUCAACCUGCCCUUCAGAGGGGGACAACAGUUGGAAACGACUGCUAAUACCGCAUACUGAAGGAGGGGAUUGCGUCUGAUUAGCUAGUUGGAGGGGUAACGGCCCACCAAGGCGCUGAUCAGUCGCCGGUCUGUGAGGAGGAACAGCAGCAUUGGGACUGAGACACGGCCCAGACUCCUACGGGAGGCAGCAGUGGGGACUCUGCCGCAAUGGAAGAAAGUCUGACUGAGUAAAGCCGCGUGAGUGAGGACGGCCUUCGGGUGGUAAAGCUCUGUUAAUCGGGACGCGGUACCGGAAUAGAAAGCCACGGCUAACUACGUGCCAGCAGCCGCGGUAAUAC
rnacentral:rRNA from 1 species